rnacentral:rRNA from 1 species
CACAUGCAAGUCGAACGGUGAAGCCCAGCUUGCUGGGUGGAUCAGUGGCGAACGGGUGAGUAACACGUGAGCAACCUGCCCCCUACUUCGGGAUAAGCCUUGGAAACGAGGUCUAAUACCGGAUAUGAGCACUUACCGCAUGGUGGGUGUUGGAAAGUUUUUCGGUGGGGGAUGGGCUCGCGGCCUAUCAGCUUGUUGGUGGGGUAAUGGCCUACCAAGGCGUCGACGGGUAGCCGGCCUGAGAGGGCGACCGGCCACACUGGGACUGAGACACGGCCCAGACUCCUACGGGAGGCAGCAGUGGGGAAUAUUGCACAAUGGGCGAAAGCCUGAUGCAGCGACGCCACGUGAGGGAUGACGGCCUUCGGGUUGUAAACCUCUUUCAGCAGGGAAGAAGCGAAAGUGACGGUACCUGCAGAAGAAGCGCCGGCUAACUACGUGCCAGCAGCCGCGGUAAUACGUAGGGCGCAAGCGUUGUCCGGAAUUAUUGGGCGUAAAGAGCUCGUAGGCGGUCUGUCGCGUCUGGUGUGAAAUCCCAUGGCUCAACUGUGGGCUUGCAUCGGGUACGGGCAGACUAGAGUGCUGUAGGGGAGACUGGAAUUCCUGGUGUAGCGGUGGAAUGCGCAGAUAUCAGGAGGAACACCGAUGGCGAAGGCAGGUCUCUGGGCAGUUACUGACGCUGAGGAGCGAAAGCAUGGGGAGCGAACAGGAUUAGAUACCCUGGUAGUCCAUGCCGUAAACGUUGGGCACUAGGUGUGGGGCGGGUUCCACUCGUUCUGUGCCGCAGCUAACGCAUUAAGUGCCCCGCCUGGGGAGUACGGCCGCAAGGCUAAAACUCAAAGGAAUUGACGGGGGCCCGCACAAGCGGCGGAGCAUGCGGAUUAAUUCGAUGCAACGCGAAGAACCUUACCAAGGCUUGACAUGUACGAGAACGCGUCAGAGAUGACGAACUCUUUGGACACUCGUACACAGGUGGUGCAUGGUUGUCGUCAGCUCGUGUCGUGAGAUGUUGGGUUAAGUCCCGCAACGAGCGCAACCC